CUCGAUGUCGGCUCAUCGCAUCCUGGGGCUGAAGCAGGUCCCAAGGGUUGGGCUGUUCGCCCAUUAAAGCGGUACGCGAGCUGGGUUUAGAACGUCGUGAGACAGUUCGGUCCCUAUCCUCUGCAGCCGUAGGUAAAUUGAGGAAAGCUAUCCCUAGUACGAGAGGACCGGGAUGGACGUAGCUCUAGUGUGCCAGUUGUCCUGCCAAGGGCAUGGCUGGUUGGCUACCUACGGACGGGAUAACCGCUGAAAGCAUCUAAGCGGGAAGCCUCUUCCAAGAUGAAUUUACCCACAGGGUUAACCUGGUAAGGCCCGUGGCAGAACACCACGUUGAUAGGCCGGAAGUGUAAGCGCAGUAAUGCGUUCAGCUGACCGGUACUAAUCGGCCGAGGGCUUGGGUUUCUACA
rnacentral:rRNA from 1 species